rnacentral:rRNA from 1 species
AAUAGAUACCCUGGUAGUCCACCCGUAAACGUUGGAACUAGUUGUGGGUCCUUUCCACGGAUUCCGUGACGCAGCUAACGCAUUAAGUUCCCCGCCUGGGGAGUACGGCCGCAAGGCUAAAACUCAAAGGAAUUGACGGGGACCCGCACAAGCGGCGGAGCAUGCGGAUUAAUUCGAUGCAACGCGAGGAACCUUACCAAGGCUUGACAUACACCAGAACACCCUGGAAACAGGGGACUCUUUGGACACUGGUGAACAGGUGGUGCAUGGUUGUCGUCAGCUCGUGUCGUGAGAUGUUGGGUUAAGUCCCGCAACGAGCGCAACCCUCGUUCUAUGUUGCCAGCACGUAAUGGUGGGAACUCAUGGGAUACUGCCGGGGUCAACUCGGAGGAAGGUGGGGAUGACGUCAAAUCAUCAUGCCCCUUAUGUCUUGGGCUUCACGCAUGCUACAAUGGCCGGUACAAUGGGCUGCGAUACCGUAAGGUGGAGCGAAUCCCAAAAAGCCGGUCCCAGUUCGGAUUGAGGUCUGCAACUCGACCUCA